rnacentral:rRNA from 1 species
AAACGUAGGAAGCGAGCGUUAUCCGGAUUUACUGGGCGUAAAGCGUGUGUAGGCGGUUUGACAAGUUGGAUGUGAAAGCUCCUGGCUUAACUGGGAGAGGUCGUUCAAAACUGUCAGACUUGAGAGUGGUAGAGGGAGGUGGAAUUCCGGGUGUAGUGGUGAAAUGCGUAGAUAUCCGGAGGAACACCAGUGGCGAAAGCGGCCUCCUGGCCCAUUUCUGACGCUCAGACACGAAAGCUAAGGUAGCAAACGGGAUUAGAGACCCCGGUAGUCUUAGCUGUAAACGAUGUGAACUUAGUGUCGGCGGGUUUAAAUCCGUCGGUACUGAAGCAAACGCGAUAAGUUCACCGCCUGGGGACUACGGCCGCAAGGUUAAA